GCAGAAGACGGCGACGGACGGUUAACUCCCUUUGCACGCCAAGUUAGUCCCCGGUGCCGAUAUGAACAACCGUCGAAUAUCAGCAGCGACGAGCCAGCAGCAACGCCAUCGAGAGUUCAGGGAUUAACAGGAUACCAAACAAAAGUGCUGUAAUGUUGACAUGUAUCAAAACUCAAAAUGAUCAAAUAAUAAGUCUGUUAAAACAUGCAGGCACAUCGAAAGGUAGCCUAAAACCGGAAUUCAAAUUCCCAAUUCAAAAUGCCGAUGAAUUAACUACAACUGAAUUAUUAAUAGAGAAAAAAGAAAAUUAUGACAAUUUGGAUUCAUACAUGAGAACUAUUGGAGGCAGGGAUAUUGCGAGCAGUGUCUCGGCUAAUGAAAUUUUGUUUCACUGACCAGCUGGCUCAACAGUACAACUUUUAUGGAAAGAGAUCGAACAAAAAGCCUUUCUGCC